ensembl:lncRNA
CAAGAACUAUGUUCACCUAGGGGCUGGCCCCGUGGCCGAGUGGUUAAGUUCGCGCGCUCCGCUGCAGGCGGCCCAGUGUUUCGUUAGUUCGAAUCCUGGGCGCGGACAUGGCACUGCUCAUCAGACCACGCUGAGGCAGCGUCCCACAUGCCACAACUAGAAGAACCCACAACGAAGAAUACACAACUAUGUACUGGGGGGAUUUGGGGAGAAAAAGGAAAAAAUAAAAUCUUUAAAAAAAAAAAAAAAGAACUAUGUUCACCUAAAGAAAACAUCCGUAGUGAGUCCAUUUUGGAUUUGAGCAUCUCACGCUGGAGCACAUAUGGGUGAUCGCCCUAGAAACCUCUCCAUGGACAGUUGCAGCCUGGGAUGCAGUGAGCCUGCAAGGACGGCCUUCCAGCUUCACCCAGGUGCUUCUGCUGGGGCUCUUGCUCCACGCCUGCCCAGUCCCUGCUUGAGGAGACCUUCACAGGGCUCUCGGAGGGGAGCUUAAAGUCUGCCAUCUACAGAACAGAAAGGAGAGUCUGUAGUGCCUUUGGAUGGGGGCGGCAGACUCCAGGCAUGGGGGACCUUGGCUGGAUGUUUCCAGUGUGGCCUGCGGGCAGCUGCGGAUGGAUGGAGUGUUUGGAGAGGGAAGAACAGGUAGUGUGACUCCUUAUCUUAGGCAGCAUGGGGCACUGCUCAGAUGACCUUGAGCUGUGAGGGGAGCUGUGGGGGUUGGGUUGCAAAGGUGGUUUUGCUCUGGCUUCCCGGAGGGUCCCUGUGCUAGACAGACAGGCUUGACUGUGCUCUAACGGCCAGCUCCUUCUUGCUGAGUCCCUUCCCCACCUCAGCUCUUCCCCGAGGAGACGGGGAAUUGCUUAAUUGCUGUUCUUUGAAAAACACUUUUAUUUUUCUGAUAUUAUGUCCCUUUCCCAUUUUUAGUGUUAAAAUGCCCUUCCUUAAUAAAACGAUGGUGUUAAUAGAUGAUAUUUCUUGGUUUUGACUGUCUACUUGGUAACCUUCUGCCAACUCUCCACGUUGUUUCUGUGUUUAAUUUACCACUGGUUGUUGAACUCCCAAAGUCUGGAAUAUCACGAUUAUACAAGGCUAAUAUGACUGUAUUCUUAUUGUAAAAAAAUUAAGACAACACAGAAAUAAAUACAGUAAAAAAUGUGGGAGAAAAUACAGGGAAAAUAGGUAAACAUUUAAAAAAUAUUAUCCUUCCUACUCAUUUAAAAUUUUUCUUUCCAUCCAAAAUGUCAGAUGUCCUUCUAAAUGGAAAGCAGUGAAUUUCCUCUACAAAAGCCUUAUCUGGUGUCAGUCACAACUAAUAACGUGGGGAAAAGCCCAUUCACCAGCGUCUUCACCUAAACCAGAUGCUGUUAAUGUGUUUAACUCUUGCAUCCAGAAGAGAUGGAAGAUCUGACAGAUGAUAUAGUGCUGUUUCAAUUUGCAUUUUCCUGAUUAGUAGAAAUUCAGCAUCUUUUCUCAUGUUCAGGCUCAUUUGUACUUCUUGUGAAAUUGCCUACUGGAAGUUGACCAUUUAGUUUUCCAACAUCUCAGGUAGCAGUCAGUUCCUGGUGACUAAGUUUUAUCAAAGGACAGAACAUGCCCUCUUUUUUGACUUUGCCUGCCUACCUACCUGCUCUGAGAGGUUGAGAUCUUGGUCUUGGCUUCAGAGAGUCUGAGUUCAGCUCUUGGCUCUGCUGCUUCCUGUGUGACUUACGUCUUAGAGUUCCAAGCACAUUAUCCAUGAAAUGGGGAUAACAUCGGAACCUAUUCCAUAGAGUUAUUGUGAAAAUUAAGGGAGGAAAUUCCAUGUAAAGGGCUUAAUGUAAGAUUUGGCUCAUUAUAGAAAUGGCAGUGACUGUAUUUAAUAAGAGGAAUUCCAGAGAUUUAAUUAUAGAGACCAACCCUGCUCCUCCACUCCAAUCGGUAUGAUUUCUCCUCUUCAACCUCAAACCCACAUCAGGCCUAGAUACUCUGGGGCUUCUGUUCUGAGUUCGCUGCAAUUCCUUUUGUGAUGUUUCUGCACAUUAAGGUAAGUGCUCACUUUGCACUUCUGAAUUACCUCUUGUAAACAGUUUAGAAAUUUGAAAAUAUGACUAUCAAGUUAAAGGGUUUUGGAAUUGUUGCUGUGUCGGAUCUUGAUUGAAGCAAAGUACAGAAUUAACCAGAAUCUCAGUCAUUAUUCUGAGUUGUAAAUUAUGAGAGAAAUAACUAAAGUGAAUGAAGAUCUGAGUAUGUGAAGAAGAAUAAAGCUCUACAGUUUUCUGCUAGAAUAUUCUGGAGAAUUAUUUGUCAUUAUUGUCAACAAUAUUGUAAUAAUAUGGAAAUGAUCAUUUAAUUAAAUACUGCCUUUAUAGAAUGAGUUAUGGCUAAGGUCAUUUCAUAAAAGUAGAAAUUAGUAAUUUCUCCCAGUAAUUCUGUUAAGAAAAUAUGCUACUCUGAAUAAUUGUGAAAGAAAAUAUGUAGUGUUUCUUCUUUUUCCUCUUAUUACUGAAUUAUAAUGUG